rnacentral:rRNA from 1 species
AAGCGGAGGAAAAGAAACCAACAGGGAUUGCCCUAGUAACGGCGAGUGAAGCGGCAACAGCUCAAAUUUGAAAGCUAGCCUUCGGGUUCGCAUUGUAAUUUGUAGAGGAUGAUUUGGGGAAGCCGCCUGUCUAAGUUCCUUGGAACAGGACGUCAUAGAGGGUGAGAAUCCCGUAUGUGACAGGAAAUGGCACCCUAUGUAAAUCUCCUUCGACGAGUCGAGUUGUUUGGGAAUGCAGCUCUAAAUGGGAGGUAAAUUUCUUCUAAAGCUAAAUAUUGGCGAGAGACCGAUAGCGCACAAGUAGAGUGAUCGAAAGAUGAAAAGCACUUUGGAAAGAGAGUUAAAAAGCACGUGAAAUUGUUGAAAGGGAAGCGCUUGCAAUCAGACUUGUUUAAACUGUUCGGCCGGUCUUCUGACCGGUUUACUCAGUUUGGACAGGCCAGCAUCAGUUUCGGCGGCCGGAUAAAGGCUCUGGGAAUGUGGCCUCCACUUCGGUGGAGGUGUUAUAGCCCAGGGUGUAAUACGGCCAGCCGGGACUGAGGUCCGCGCUUCGGCUAGGAUGCUGGCGUAAUGGUUGUAAGCGACCCGUCUUGAAACACGGACC